UUGGAGGGCAAGUCUGGUGCCAGCAGCCGCGGUAAUUCCAGCUCCAAUAGCGUAUAUUAAAGUUGUUGCAGUUAAAAAGCUCGUAGUUGAAUUUCGGGAUCAAUAUGCCGGUCAUGCCUUGGUAUGCACUGGUAUCUUUGAUUUCUCCCUUCUGACGAACUUUGAUGUCGUUAAUUUGGUGUCAUAGGGAAUCAGGACUGUUACUUUGAAAAAAUUAGAGUGUUUAAAGCAAGCUCACGCUUGAAUACAUUAGCAUGGAAUAAUGAAAUAGGACGUUUGAUUCUAUUUUGUUGGUUUCUAGGAUCGACGUAAUGAUUAAUAGGGAUAGUUGGGGGCAUUAGUAUUCAAUUGUCAGAGGUGAAAUUCUUGGAUUUAUUGAAGACUAACUACUGCGAAAGCAUUUGCCAAGGAUGUUUUCAUUAAUCAAGAACGAAAGUUAGGGGAUCGAAGACGAUCAGAUACCGUCGUAGUCUUAACCAUAAACUAUGCCGACUAGGGAUCGGAUGAUGUUAAUUUUUUAAUGACUCAUUCGGCGCCUUACGGGAAAC
rnacentral:rRNA from 1 species